rnacentral:lncRNA from 12 species
CCUCCUUGGUGGGGCCUCUGUAGAAAUGCUGUUCACAUGCACACGCACCGGCGGCACAGACUGGGCCAUCUUAGGGUUAACUUUUCCAAAAAUGUCCAUGUCUUCGUUUUCUCAUUCCCUAAUACCUCUAUCUAUAUAUUCACUCUUUAAUAUAUAUUGAGUACAUUUAAAAUAUAUGGAAAGAUGCCAAAGCUAGGCAGGCACCAUGGGAAUAUAAUGUGUAGGACAGAGGUCCUUUAUUCUAGGAGCUUAUUAGGCAAAUUAGAGAAGAUGCCCCUCUUUCUUUUCCUUGAAAUGGCUCAACGUGGAAGAGAUUGCUAGUUUCUGAAAUACUCAUUCUCAUCUUGCCAGUGGGAUACAAUUCGAAGUAGAGGUGGAUCCCUUUAAAAAAAAAGAUGUGUCCUCCUGUCCUGUCCCCCUUCCUGGUGGUGGUGAGCCGGGCUGCUGCAGGUGCAUGGCGGAGCGACGGUGGAGGAGGCAUGGGGGCCCCACUGUGGGGCUGCCCUCAGGGGUAACCCACUGGGACAGCUCUUGCAAGAGAAAUACACUUGUAUCUUGUUUAAGUCAUUGUUGUUUUGGUCUCUGUUCCAGGAGUGGAACCUGUUUCUAUUUAUGAUGGGAAGUCAGCGUGAGCAGGACUACAGCAGCUUAGUCAUUAGAGAAGUUGCUCUAAGCAGAAGGGGAACUGAUUCGCUGUGGCCAAGAAAUGUCUCUGCAUCUGUCUCUUCACAUCUGAGUUGCAUUUUUCCCCCAGAAGAAACCACAAAAAAUACCAACUACAACUGCACCAAAGGCUCCUGA